UACGUAGGGUGCGAGCGUUGUCCGGAUUUAUUGGGCGUAAAGGGCUCGUAGGCGGCCUGUCGCGUCGGGAGUGAAAGCCCACUGCUUAACGGUGGGUCUGCUUCCGGUACGGGCGGGCUAGAGUAUGGCAGGGGAGACUGGAAUUCCUGGUGUAGCGGUGGAAUGCGCAGAUAUCAGGAGGAACACCGGUGGCGAAGGCGGGUCUCUGGGCCAUUACUGACGCUGAGAAGCGAAAGCAUGGGGAGCGAACAGG
rnacentral:rRNA from 1 species